rnacentral:rRNA from 1 species
UGGGGGAUAUUGCACAAUGGGCGAAAGCCUGAUGCAGCGACGCCGCGUGGGGGAUGAAGGCCUUCGGGUUGUAAACUUCUUUUGCUCUGAACAAGGCGCACCAUGGGGUGUGUUGAGUGUAGGGGUUGAUUAGCGCCGGCUAACUACGUGCCAGCAGCCGCGGUAAUACGUAGGGCGCGAGCGUUGUCCGGAAUUAUUGGGCGUAAAGGGCUUGUAGGUGGCUGGUUGCGUCUGUCGUGAAAGCUCAUGGCUUAACUGUGGGUUUGCGGUGGGUACGGGCUGGCUUGAGUGCAGUAGGGGAGGCUGGAAUUCCUGGUGUAGCGGUGGAAUUCGCAGAUAUCAGGAGGAAUACCGGUGGCGAAGGCGGGUCUCUGGGCUGUUACUGACACUGAGGAGCGAAAGCAUGGGGAGCGAACAGG